CCCGCUGUUGCCAUGGCGACAGCGCCCGAGCGCGGCCUAGGCCCGGCCCCGAACCCUGAGGCCUGGCCCGGGGGCGAGCAGCGGGCACCGGGCACCGGGAACGACCCUGAGGGGGGCUGGGGGGAGCCCCGCGGGGUCAGGCGGAGCCGCAGGGCCCGGUCUCGGUGCUGGGGGCACGAGUGUCCCGUGUGGAAGCGGGGAUGGAGCCAAGAGGCCUGGUCCCGGGGGGGCUGAGGGGAGCGGGGCGCAGCAAGCGGCAGGAGGCCGAAGCAGAGAGGGGAGCUGCGGCCCGCGAGCUGAGCCUGCCACCGAUCCCCAGCGAGGACAAGAGGAGAGGGGAGAAGAAGAAGCCAGUUACAUUUAUGUCGAGUAAAAAAACACCCCUGCCUUCAAAGAAACCGGUGUCCCAAGAGAAAUACAGAAGUUUUACCGAGAAGAAGUCAGCGCUCAAGGAGGCUGAAAUAGCUGAGGCGUUGGAAGAGAUCAAAAUCACCACGGAUCUGACCCAGCAGAAGAUAAAUGCCAUAGAGGAGCUGAAGCAGCGCAGCGCCCGCCUGGAAGAGGCCAACUGCCGGCUGAUGAAGGACAUCCAGCACACCGAUGCCAGCACUGCCAAGCGAGCCAGAGACCUGCUGCAGCAGUACGAACAGUUUCAGAUGGUCAAGGCAACGGCGCAGACCGCCAGUCAGAAGAGACUGGACACAGCGAGGGCAGAGCUGCAGGAAAUGGAAAAAACAAUGGAAAAGAAUCUGGGAGAGCUACAGCAGCAGUUGGAUGAAGCCACAUCCAACGUACAGGUUCUCCAGGAUGAGCUCAGCGUCCUGCGGACCUACACGGACGUGCAUUAUCCCAAACAGGCUCUCCAGAUUGUCCUCCUUCUCUCCGACAUCCAGAACCUGAAGAAGCAGCAGCAGGAUGAGAUAGACAAGACAGAAGAAAUGGGGAAGGCCGUCCUGGAGGAACUGGAAGAGAAAACACGGCAAGAACAAGAGGAGCUGCUGCAGCAAGUCGUGGAGGAGGUGUUGCUGCACCAGGAUGGCCUGAAGCAGCUGGUGAUAAACAACCACGUGCUGCGACGCGAGAUAAGAAGGCAAAGAGAGAUUAUUAAGGACCUGGAAGAGGAGAUCAGCGAGCUGCAAAGCAGCAUCCAGACGCUCCGCCAGCGUGCGAGAGACCCGAGAGAGGUGAUCUUUGCUGAUGUUUUCCUCCGCAGACCCAAAUCUCACCGACAAACCUACACGUCCUGGGACAGAAACUCGCAGCUUGCUGGCAAACCCGGUCACCUCACAGCUCUCUUUUGGGUUUCCUUUUGUCCGUCCUGUAAAUGGGGGUAAUUACCAGCUGCAGGAAGAGGCAGAGCUUUUCAAGGCCCUUGUGACUACGAUGAGUCUUCCUUUAUUGUUCUUUUCCCUCUCUGGCUGGGAAGCCAAACUGAGGGGAGGUGGCCAGGCUCCUGUGGAGCAUCCUUGUCCGGGCAGGUCCUACCCAUCUCAAGCUGCUUUGCUGCUGGUGUGAAACAGCACAAAGGAGAACAAAGGCGGGCAGCCAGUCCCCUAAUAUGUAAAAAAAAAACCAUCUCAGAGGAACGGGUUGGCAGCAAAAAGGCAAAACUUUCUCUUUCUCCCACUCUUUCCCUGCCCAAGCUCAUCGGGAGCUAACGACCCCCGGAGCAGAGGUUGCGGUGAGUCCCCGCUCCCACUUCCCAUCGUUGUGCAGUGCGAGGAGAAUCCUCAGCGCGCAUCGAGGGGGAGAAGGCCCUGCCAGCUCGCUCACGGGGACGCUGGGCUCUCCUCUCCAGGGACAGGGGACACACUGGCCAAGUCCGUAGGCUGAGGCAUACCAGCAGCCCGCUGUGACGAGUUAUUUUCCACCAUACCCCCGGCGGGGAGCCCGCCCCACCGAGCAGCAGGCCCCUGGCAGAGGGCUCCUGCCCAGAACUCAAAUGCUUUGGAGCUGUCAGGUGCCUCCUCUUCCUGUGCUGACCAGGGGAACAAACCUACAUAAAAUUGACCAAAUAUGCUUAAAUCUUGAGUGCGGUGUAGCCCGAAACCCACAGUUUUGUGCAGAACUGGGUGCAUGUGCACCUUUAUUUGCUGCAGCUGCCUGUACACAAGUUAUAGACGGGCCACAGAUGCUCACCCAGCAAAUCGCUGGUGGUGCAAACAGCAGAAGGGGCUGGAAUUGUUAACGGCCAGCCAGGUAGGGCUGCGGAGCUGCAGAGGCGUGAUGCGGAGCAGGAGGAAAGCCUGCAACGUGUCAGGAGCCCGUGGGGGAGGCGAGCGGCUGCGUGAUGGAUUAGCGAGACUUAAUUUUAUUUUUUUUUUUUCCGAUAAAAGAAUGAUAAAAAGGGGAAUUAAUUAGCCUCGACAGCUGGUGGGGCUGGGGUUACUGAGGGCGGCUGGGAGAAGAGUUAAAAAUAGCAGGAAGGCCCAAGUGGAAAGUUUCUGUAACAUCACAAGUCAGGCAUUUGGUGCUUACCCGCCCUGACAGGCAGGAGGCUGUGCCAGAGCCCUCGCCGCCAUCUCCCCGCCGAUUCCCACUGACCUCCCUGCAACUUUUCACACGGCUUCAGCAGCCGUUCGUUUUUCCAGUUAACCCUCUGCUUCCAGACGCUGCUUUGGCUUCCUGAAAGCAGGACCAGGCAUCGCCUGUGCUCGGCUUGGAAGUAGGAGGGCACGCAGGAGCGUGGAAUUGUUGCUGGCCCUCCUCGGGCUCCCCGUGCGCUGCACCUGCGAAGCACGGAGGAGCUGCGAGGCCCCCGCACACCCACGUGUGUCUGCGUUUGUGUUCUCCCUCUUUAAAACUCCUUUUUUAAGCCCCCCCGGGUGGAUUUCACCUCCGAGCCCUGCAUUGGACGCACAGUUUGUCCUGGGCUGACGCAGGCUGCCGAGCGCACCUCUGAGCGAGCCCAGCUUGCUGUGUUUGUCCUUUCUGUGCGAGAAAGCAGAUGUGCCUGGCUGCCUGAUGGGCUUUCUCAGCUUCUGUUUGUCGUUCAGGACUGACAACGAGGGGCAGCUAAUUCCGUUCCUUCUCCGAGUCCCAAGGGUGCACACCAGACACCGAGGUGAUCCUCAGCAUCCCCACGGAGGAGGCAACGCUCCCCUGACACCCGCAGGCCCCUCAGGAGCGGUGCUGAGCUGACAAAACCUUCCCCAGCAGCACUUCUUCAUCCCAGCACCACUCAGUGAGGACUCCUGACUACAAGGAGCAGGAAAGGAGCUGCAUCAUUCCCGACCUCGUGCCUGUGACCAUCGCGCUGCAGCCGUUUGGAAGGUGCAAACCCUGCGGUGACGGCUGCCCAGGGACCCUCCCCGGCCCUCCUCACCCCCCAGCACCAUCGCUGCCCCCCAGUGCCAUGGGGGCAGCACCAAAGGGGCCUCUCCAUCGCGGUGCCGUGACCUGGGAGGGGUGUCCUGGGGUGCCCCAGGGUGGGCACGUCCCGGUGCAGGGCUGGGGACCCAGCACGGAGCCAUCCCGGAGCCUGUGUGGGUGCCAGGGCCAAACUCAGGUUCAAAUAAAAACAGCCCCCGUGCUGCCCCGUUCGAAACA